GGUUUCUAUUUAUCUGGUUUAGAGCAUAUAGGCUCACAACGGAGACCCAUUUUCCUUGACAUUUCAGAUCACUAGAUAUUAUUUUGGUUGUAUCAACUAAGAAGAAGAGAAAAUAAAAUAACAAAAAAAAGCACAGAUAAUUCUGAAGAUUGCUUGAACAUCACUAUGAAUAUAAUGGCUCCAGAUACAGAAGGCCUUUCAAUACAAUGGCUCUUGACCAUUCAGCAGGACAUGUACUGCUGCAGUAUACACAACUGAAGUGUCAGAGGUAGGCAAGAGAACUAGGAUGCUGAAAUUAAUACACAAAAGGGAUGGAUUAAGAAUGAACUAUCUCCCUUAUUUCCUAGCUCACUUCAUUUGGAAACACAAAGCAACUAAGACCUGGAGUUACCUGCUGAUCCAGCAUGUGGUAAAAUGCCAUUCCCUACUGAAAACUGUUCUGCAGGCUGUUUGCAGCAAGAUACGAGGACAAUGAAAUCCACGAGAGGGCAGUACACAGCAAGGGUAAAGGCAGACGCAGCUUACUGCAGGGAGCCUCGGGCAGCACCCAAGCAAUCAGAAAGAAUGAAGCCGGACCAUAACAUUGCUCGUAGAGUGUUAGAAAAAUCUUGGGUCGAGUCUACAAAAAUUCUGACCGUUACUGUAGUUUUAGGUGAGCUUUGUCUUCUGACAUUGGAGGCUGCUCGUAUCCUCAGUGCCUGUUUUCACAACUGCAAGUGCUGUACUUUUACUGCAAAGAGGAUGGAAACACUGGAUUUAUACAAUAAUUAUUAUACUAAAGGUGCUGUGGCUAUAAUGGAAAAAAAUGUAGUGAAAUAAAAAUUGUGAAAAUUAAUGAUAAUAAAAUUGUCACAAGCUUGGCA
rnacentral:lncRNA from 1 species